rnacentral:rRNA from 1 species
CAGUAGCCGCGGGAAUACGAAGGGUGCAAGCGUUACUCGGAAUUACUGGGCGUAAAGCGUGCGUAGGUGGUGGUUUAAGUCCGUUGUGAAAGCCCUGGGCUCAACCUGGGAAUUGCAGUGGAUACUGGGUCACUAGAGUGUGGUAGAGGAUAGUGGAAUUUCCGGUGUAGCAGUGAAAUGCGUAGAGAUCGGAGGGAACAUCUGUGGCGAAGGUGACUAUCUGGGCCAACACUGACACUGAGGCACGAAAGCGUGGGGAGCAAACAGGAUUAGAUACCCGAGUAGUCCCUGUCUCUUAUAC